AUUGAACGCUGGCGGCAGGCCUAACACAUGAAAGUCGAGCGGAGCGGCGGACGGGUGAGUAAUGCCUAGGAAUCUGCCUGGUCGUGGGGGAUCACGUCCGGAAUCGGGCGCUAAUUCCGCAUACUAUCAUAAGAGCCUCGGUCGGAUUAGCUAGUUGGUGGGGUAAAGGCCUACAAAGGCGACGUUCCGUAACUGGUCUGAGAGGAGGAUCAGUCACACUGUAACUGAGACACGGUCCAGACUCCUACGUGAGGCAGCAGUGGGGAAUAUUGGACAAUGGGCGAAAGCCUGAUCCAGCCAUGCCGCGUGUGUGAAGAAGGUCUUCGGAUUGUAAAGCACUUUAAGUUGGGAGGCGUUACCAACAGAAUAAGCACCGGCUAACUUCGUGCCAGCAGCCGCGGUAAUUC
rnacentral:rRNA from 1 species